rnacentral:rRNA from 1 species
AUUGAACGCUGGCGGCAGGCUUAACACAUGCAAGUCGAGCGGGGUGAUGGUGCUUGCACUAUCACUUAGCGGCGGACGGGUGAGUAAUGCUUAGGAAUCUGCCUAUUAGUGGGGGACAACAUCUCGAAAGGGAUGCUAAUACCGCAUACGUCCUACGGGAGAAAGCAGGGGAUCACUUGUGACCUUGCGCUAAUAGAUGAGCCUAAGUCGGAUUAGCUAGUUGGUGGGGUAAAGGCCUAUCAAGGCGACGAUCUGGAGCGUGUCUGAGAGGAUGAUCCGCCACACUGGGACUGGGACACGGCCCAGACUCCUACGGGAGGAAGCAGUGGGGAAUAUUGGACAAUGGGGGGAACCCUGAUCCAGCCAGGCCGCGUGUGUGAAGAAGGCCUUAUGGUUGUAAAGCACUUUAAGCGAGGAGGAGGCUCUUUUGGUUAAUACCCAAGAUGAGUGGACGUUACUCGCAGAAUAAGCACCGGCUAACUCUGUGCCAGCAGCCGCGGUAA